rnacentral:rRNA from 1 species
AACGAACGCUGGCGGCAUGCCUAACACAUGCAAGUCGAACGAGACCUUCGGGUCUAGUGGCGCACGGGUGCGUAACGCGUGGGAACCUGCCCUUAGGUUCGGCAUAACUCCCCGAAAGGGGUGCUAAUACCGGAUAAUGUCUUCGGACCAAAGAUUUAUCGCCUUUGGAUGGGCCCGCGUUGGAUUAGCUAGUUGGUAGGGUAAAAGCCUACCAAGGCGACGAUCCAUAGCUGGUCUGAGAGGAUGAUCAGCCACACUGGGACUGAGACACGGCCCAGACUCCUACGGGAGGCGGCAGUGGGGAAUAUUGGACAAUGGGCGAAAGGAUGAUCCAGCAAUGCCGCGUGAGUGAUGAAGGCAGUAGGGUUGUAAAGCUCUUUUAACCGGGAUGAUAAUGACAGUACCGGGAGAAUAAGCCCCGGCUAACUCCGUG